UUCGCUCUUGUUGCAUAGUCUGGAAUGCAAUGGCGUGAUCUCAGCUCGCUGCAACCUCCGCCUCCUGGGUUCAAACGAUUCUCCUGCCUCAGCCUCCUGAGUAGCUGGGAUUACAGGUGCCCGCCACCAUGCCCAGCUAAUUUUUGUAUUUUUAGUAGAGACGGGGUUUUACCAUGUUGGCCAGGCUGGUCUCGAACUCCUGAUCUCCAGUGAUCCACCCACCUCGGCCUCCCAAAAUGCUGAGAUUACAGACAUGAGUCCCCGCGCCCGGCCACAUAUUUUCAGAUGGUAGUAACUCACUACUGCAAGCACUGAUGGCUCCUGCUCAGUUUCCAUUCCUCUCACUCUCUUCUGGGAGAGACCACCUUUCACAACAGAAACUAAACGUAACUGCCUGCUUUCUCAGACUCCCCUUGCAGAUAUGGCAAGAACAUAUAAGUCUGCACAGGCCAGUAGGGCUAAAGAAGAAGUUUCAGGAUGUUUCUGGGAAGAAUUUCUUCUCUAAUGAAGAGAGAAGCACUUAGGAUGCCUCAUUGUCACACAGCUGGUAAGUGGUCCUGACCUAGGUUUGUUAAACUCGUAUCUGUAACUAUCAGUUACUGAUAUGGUUUGGCUGUGUCCCCACCGAAAUCUCAUCUUGAAUUAUACUCCUAUGAUUCCCACGUGUUGUGGGAGGGAUCCGGUAGGAGAUAAUUGAAUCGGGGGCAGGUCUCGCUCAUGCUGUUCUCCUGAUAGUGAAUAAGUCUCACGAGAUCUGAUGGCUUUAUAAGGUGGAGUUUUCCCGCGCAAGCUCUCUUUGCCUCCUCCGUUUUGCCUGCUUCUCUAUGCCUGCUGCCAUGAUUAUGAGGCUUCCCCAGCCACGUGGAACUGAUGGUGAAUUAGAGGCUUUUAGCAUGCCUUAGCCACUUGGAAAUUCAUAAAGAUAAACUCUGUGAGCUUUAAUUUAAGAAGAAAAAUGGGAAAUCCACAAGAAUUGUGAAGGACACCUCAGAUCCCAGGAAGGAGAAUUCAGGCAAAAAGCCCCCAUGCUGGCAUCAGACUGAUGAGGAUUUCAGUCAAGGAGAUGCCUACCUGGGGACAGAAUCUGGAAAAGACCUCAAAAUAGAUCUUCUCAAGGCACCCGGAGGCAAACGAGGCAUAGACACACUAGGAUAAAAGCUGUCUUCAAGUCAGAGCCCUCCCUAGGGCUCCAGGCAGAGCAAAGGACCAGAUCUCCCCCUCUGCACUCCCCACCUACAGAUGAGCACCCAGGCAGGGGACACUCAAAGCAGGUGAAUGAGACAGGGGGGCAUGCAGAAGCCUUGAUCUCCGAGUGGUCUGUGGCCGUGAGGUGGAGAGAUACAACUGCUUUCUCGAGGACCCAAGGGAAAACCGAGCUGUGGCUGUCUGAGUCUUAUCAAAGGAAAAACGGUUGGUGCCUGGCACAUUACAGGCCCUCAAUGUCUACCGGUUGGAUGACUGAAAGUGACUGGGGCAUCCGCUUGUCAUGGGUACGAAAGCCAGCUUCACCAUUCUCUACCAGCUUGCUCCAGGUAAGACUUCAGCUCACAGUGCCUCGCUCUUUAAAUCUAUGAAAUGCUUUCCUCUCCUCUCAGUUUAUCACAAAGAUAAGCUUAUCACAAACUUUCUCAGUUAAAGUGCCUUAGUCCAGUUUCUGUUGCUUAUAAUGGAAUACCUAAAAUGGGGUAAUUCAUAAGAAAACGAAUUUCUUUCUUAUAGCCCUAAAGGCUGAAAGGUGUAAAGUUGAGGGGCCACAUCCAGUGAGGGCCUCCUUGCUGGUGGGGACUCUUCUGAAGAGUCCCAAGGUGGCCCCAGGCAUCACAUGGUGAGGGGGCUGAGCAUAUGAUCUCAAGUGUGUCUUCCCCUUCCAUGAUAACCCGUUAAUCCAUUAAUGGAUUAACUCACUUAUGUGGGCAGAGCCCUCAUGUUCCAAUCACCUCUUAAAGGUCCCACUUCUCAAUACUGCCACAUUGGGGAUUAAAUUUCAACAUGAAUUUUGGAGGAGACAGAUAUUCAAACCAUAGCAGAAAGUAUGCAAAACACCUUGCACACAGUUGUUUAUUAAGUAUUGGUGCUUUCCAUUUCCCAUUGCUAACACACUUAAUGCCAUUUUCACACAUUUUUUGGACAGAAGAGAAAUUGCUUGGCAGUUGGAUGUUCCUGAAAUUUUCCCUUCCAAAUGAAUUUCUGAUCACAAAAGACAUGAAUUGCUUUAGGUGAACUUUCCCUCACUCUCUGUAUGUGAACUUGGACUGCAGUUUUAUGUGCUCAGGUGCCUUCACUUCCUUUCCCCAAAGAAAGAAAGAAGCAAAAAUGUGCAUAUGUUCACUCACACCCCUCUGAGCAAUGACAGUAAACAACCAACACACUGCAGGAGCCAAGGGGCUGGCCCUGUGUGCCUGUGUAUUUCUAGCAGCCCUCAUGUAAAUGGGCACGUGGCCCCCAUUGAAGCAGAAAGUUUACAACUCGCAGGUGCAAGAACAAUUUUUCAAUUAGGGAUAAUAUGGUUCUUCAUCACGUUUUUCUGGAGCCGUGUGGGAGGAAGGGUUCUAGCCAGGUGGAAACUCAGCACAACAGUUACAGUUUAGUAAUCUGAGAUGUGUUUUGCCAAAAAACAAAAAGCUUCUGAUUGAUUCCAUAGCUUUGCAAGAUAUAAGUCUAUGGUGGUGAUUGGUGAUUUACUCCUGCUGGAAUGAAUGAGUAGAUUUAGUGGUAGCCUUUUAAAAAUUCUUGCAAAUGUAUGAACUUAUUCACUGACCCUUUCUAUUUCAUCAGGCUGAAUUCUCGUUUUGGCUCAAUUAUCAGCCUCCACAUCCCAUUGAUUUUCUCUUUUAAUGUCUCUCCUAUCCAUCUUACCCCUUUUAAAGCAAGCCUGCGUUCCUGCUGGUCAGGAUGAAUAGAUAUGAUAGUAGAGCUUCAUUCUACCUUAAAGGAAGUAGUUGGGAUGAAUAGAGAGGAGGCAGAGGUAUUCUAAGUUCUGGGGAAAAAUGUGGGAACAUGUCUGCUUAAAGAAAGGACAAUUAAAAAAAAUGAGUGUGUGGCACUGAGGACGUAAAGAUGCAAUGCAAGGUGAGGUUGAAAAUGUAGAUCAGAAUUAAGUUGUUGAGAAACUUGAUUACCUUAUACAUGUAUUUUUGACUUUAAUGUGAAACCCACGGGGAAUUAUUGAAGAAUUUAGAGAAGAGAAAAUGUUGUCAUCAGUCUGGUGUCUGUACAAAAGAUAAGAUAGAUUGGAGCAAAGACUAGAAGGAGGGAGAUUGGGUAGAUGUACUCAGGUUUCGUAAUUGGGAGGAAGAAAGAGAAUAUAAUUCCACUCAGCAUGGUUUGAGCCCACCUGUGUAACAAUCCAGAGGCAUGGAAGGAUUAAAUGCCCUUCUCAAUACCAGAGAUUUCCAGAGAUUUGACGUUGAGAAACUGACACAAACACUAAAAACUGUAGAGAGCAGAGAUGAUAAUUUUAUUGAAUUUUGCCCCCAAGACUCACAAUGCAAUACAGAUUCAUAUUCAGUAAACACUUAUUGGGAAUCUACACUAUCAGGAAUGCUUUUUAACCACAAGUAAUGGAAUACACAAAUAAUAGUGGCUUACAUGAUAAAGACAUUAGUUAUAUCACAUGACAAAAAGGCUAGAGAUCAUUGUUUUUGUGUUAACUUGUUGCAUUGCUAUCAUAUAACUGCUUUCACUUCAAGCACUGUGCAGAGCCUCCCAGAGGACCUCCGUGUGUGCUCCUUUGGUUCUUCCUAGGGUUCUUCCUAGGUUCCAUAGCCAGCCUUAGCUGCAAGGGAAGCUGGAGAGUGAGUAUUUAGCAUUUCUAGCCUAUAGAGUAAAAGGAAGCCAGGGAGGAAAGAAUUGGGAAUAAAGGUUGGAUCAGCCACCCAACAGUGAAUACCACACCUUCUAAUCUGCCAAGCACUUUCACAACCAACAUUGCUGCAUAACAUUCUUAGCCAUGAAGUAAAUAUCAUCUCCAAAAUUAUCAACACAGAAACAUAGGCAUGGAAGGAUUAAGUGGCCUUCUCAGUAUUGCAUAGCUAGUAGCAGAGAUUUGAAGUUGAGAGACUGACACAAACACUCCUCAACUAACUGUAUACUUCAAAAAAACUGUGCUCACAUGAAGAAAGGUGAAGAGUUAGUCAAAGGACUAUAAAAACCCAG